GGAAUCUUGCACAAUGGACGAAAGUCUGAUGCAGCGACGCCGCGUGGGGGAUGAAGGCCCUAGGGUCGUAAACCCCUUUCAGUGGGGACGAAAAUGACGGUACCCACAGAAGAAGGUCCGGCCAACUACGUGCCAGCAGCCGCGGUAAGACGUAGGGACCGAGCGUUGUCCGGAAUUAUUGGGCGUAAAGAGCUCGUAGGCGGUUGCGUAAGUCGGAUGUGAAAGCUCAGGGCUCAACCCUGAGACGCCAUCCGAUACUGCGCUGACUUGAAACCAGUAGGGGAGUGUGGAAUUCCUGGUGUAGCGGUGAAAUGCGCAGAUAUCAGGAGGAACACCAAUGGCGAAGGCAGCCUUCUGGGCCUGUACUGACGCUGAGGAGCGAAAGCGUGGGGAGCAAACAGGAUUAGAUACCCCCGUAGUCC
rnacentral:rRNA from 1 species